rnacentral:rRNA from 1 species
AAUAGAUACCCUGGUAGUCCACGCCGUAAACGAUGAGUGCUAAGUGUUAGGGGGUUUCCGCCCCGUUAGUGCUGCAGCUAACGCAUUAAGCACUCCGCCUGGGGAGUACGGUCGCAAGACUGAAACUCAAAGGAAUUGACGGGGGCCCGCACAAGCGGUGGAGCAUGUGGUUUAAUUCGAAGCAACGCGAAGAACCUUACCAGGUCUUGACAUCCCACUGACCGCUAUGGAGACAUAGUUUUCCCUUCGGGGACAGUGGUGACAGGUGGUGCAUGGUUGUCGUCAGCUCGUGUCGUGAGAUGUUGGGUUAAGUCCCGCAACGAGCGCAACCCUUGAUCUUAGUUGCCAUCAUUUAGUUGGGCACUCUAAGGUGACUGCCGGUGACAAACCGGAGGAAGGUGGGGAUGACGUCAAAUCAUCAUGCCCCUUAUGACCUGGGCUACACACGUGCUACAAUGGACGGUACAAACGGUUGCCAACCCGCGAGGGGGAGCUAAUCCGAUAAAACCGUUCUCAGUUCGGAUUGUAGGCUGCAACUCG